AAAAUACUAAAAUAGUAAUUAAAUAUUUAUUGAAACUUAAAUAAUUUGGCGGUAUUUUAGUUCAUUUAGGGGAAUCUGUUUAAUAAUUGAUAUUCCACGAAUAAAUUUACUUAUUUUAUAAUUUUGUAUAUCGUUGUUAUAAAAAUAUUUUUUAAUGAAAUUAAUGUUUAAAAAUUAAUAUGAAAAAUUAAAUCAAAUCAAGAUGCAGAUUAUAAUUAAGAAUAUAAUGGAUUACAAUAAAUUUAUUUAAAUGGAUUUUAUUUUGUAAUAUUUAAUUGAAGGUGGAUUUAAAUGUAAUUUUAUUUAAUUUAAUAAAAUGAUUAAAAAUUAAAAUAUGU
rnacentral:rRNA from 1 species